rnacentral:rRNA from 1 species
CCCUUAGAUGUUCUGGGCUGCACGCGCGCUACACUGAAGCUAUCAACACGUUUUCCCUCCCUGAGAAGGGCGGGUAACCUUUUGAAUCAGCUUCGUGGUAGGGAUCGGGGCUUGCAAUUGUUCCCCGUGAACCAGGAAUUCCUAGUAGACGCGAGUCAUAAGCUCGCAUCGAUUAAGUCCCUGCCCUUUGUACACACCGCCCGUCGCUACUACCGAUUGAACGUUUUAGUGAGGCAUUUGGACCGACGCAUCUCAGUUUAACCGCUGGUUUGUGUUGGAAAGUCUUCCAAACUUGAGCGUUUAGAGGAAGUAAAAGUCGUAACA